GACGAACGCUGGCGGCGUGCCUAAUACAUGCAAGUUGAGCGCUGAAGGCUGGUACUGGUACCAACGGGAUGAGCAGCGAACGGGUGAGUAACGCGUGGGGGAUCUGCCUUUGAGCGGGGGACAACAUUUGGAAACGAAUGCUAAUACCGCAUAAAAACUUUAAACACAAGUUUUAAGUUUGAAAGAUGCAAUUUCAUCACUCAAAGAUGAUCCCGCGUUGUAUUAGCUAGUUGGUGAGGGACGAGCUCACCAAUCCUAUGAUACAUAGCCGACCUGAGAGGGUGAUAUGCAUAGCUGGGAUGGAGACACGGCCCAAACCCCUACGAGAGGCAGCAGGAGCGAAUUUCCGGGGAAGGCCGAAAGUCUGAAUGAGCAACGACGCGUGAGUGAAUGAUGCUGUCGGAUCGUAAAAGUGUUGUGGUAGAGAAGAUCGUUGGUGAGAGUGGCAAGCUCAGCAAGUGACGGUACCGAGCCAGAAAGGGACGGCUAACUACGUG
rnacentral:rRNA from 1 species